AAAGGGUGCGUAGGCGGUUUGACAAGUCUUAUGUGAAAUCUAUGGGCUCAACCCAUAGCCUGCAUGAGAAACUGUCGGGCUUGAGUAUGGGAGAGGUGAGUGGAAUUUCCGGUGUAGCGGUGAAAUGCGUAGAUAUCGGAAGGAACACCUGUGGCGAAAGCGGCUCACUGGACCAUUACUGACGCUGAGGCACGAAAGCUAGGGGAGCAAACAGGAUUAGAUACCCGAGU
rnacentral:rRNA from 1 species